rnacentral:rRNA from 1 species
UACGGAGGGAGCUAGCGUUAUUCGGAAUUACUGGGCGUAAAGCGCACGUAGGCGGCUUUGUAAGUAAGAGGUGAAAGCCCGGAGCUCAACUCCGGAACUGCCUUUUAGACUGCAUCGCUUGAAUCCAGGAGAGGUGAGUGGAAUUCCGAGUGUAGAGGUGAAAUUCGUAGAUAUUCGGAAGAACACCAGUGGCGAAGGCGGCUCACUGGACUGGUGUUGACGCUGAGGUGCGAAAGCGUGGGGAGCAAACAGG